rnacentral:lncRNA from 1 species
UAUAAAGGCCAGGUCUCCAAAUACAGUCACACGGGGAGCUAGGGCUUCAACCUAUGGCUUUUGGGGGAUACAGUUCAGUCCAUAGCAGUGGGGAAAGGAUGUGACUCAGUCUAGAGAGACUCAAGGAGGGAAUGCUUAGAUAGGAGCAUGGAGGGCGUGCCUGGUGAAGGGAACAGUAUGGCACAGCUUCAGAGGCAAGGGUGAGCCAGCAGCAAGGGGCUGGCUAUGGCCGGUACAAAAAGCAUGUGCUCGUGGGAAAUAGGCACCAAAGAAGGCCCAGAGAGGUUUAACAACUUCCUCAGAAUCACACAGCUUCCAAAUGGUUGGGUUGGGUUUACAUUUAGGCGGUCUUGCUCCAGAGCCAGUGCUCCUAACCUUUGCAAGCCACGAACCUCAAGAAAGUGGAGAAGGAAACGCUGGGAAAUCUGGAAGUCAGACAUGGCAAGUUUUUCUCACUGUAAGAAGAGGACAAUAGCCUAUGAUCUACAGUGCCCAUUCCAACUCAGAGAAUCUUUACAUCUGGAGAUCUAUAGCAGGGCUAUCCCUAGUGACAUGCGUGAAGAAGCUUGGAAAUGGUGCUGGGUAGGAGCUGAGUGUGCAGAAUGUGGAAAGGCAUUCUAAACCAAAGGAAGAACACGAGUAAAGAUGAUGAAGCAGGGAUAAGGCUAAAAUGAAAUUUGUGAUCUGAUCCACAUACAAGCACAGUGUAGUACAGCUGGAAUAUAGAGAAGAGCUUGAAGACUUAUGAGCAACUAUCCCGGUACUCUUGGAGGCUCUGCAACCACAGUUUGAGAAACUCCGCGUUCAAAGUUAAAAACUGUCACCUGAAUAGUUAAUAACAUCAAAGAUUGUGAAAGCAAGUAUAAAUAACACAGAGAUUAAAAUAAUGAGGCAGGAUCAGAAAAAAACAAGAAGGAAGAUCUCCCAUAGAUUUUCAAGGUGCUGAGAAAACAGCUUCUAGACAUAUCUCGAAAGCCAAGUUUCUGAGAUGUAAUCAGAAAGCUGUAGUGGAAGGAAAUUUGAACCAGAAGACUGCAGUCCUGUCUAUGAACGUUAAACCUGUGUGGCUUAGGAAACGAGUCUAACCUCGUCUGAGCCUCAGUUUGUUCACCUAAAAGAUGGAGAUGAGAGCUCAUUUGUCUCAUUCUCAGGGGUUAUGGUGGCCAUCCAGACAUAAAGAAAUUAGAACGUUCAUUCAUCUGCAGAUGCUCACACAUUCCUACAGGAUGACUGAAACCCACAGCAAACAAUCCUCAUGAAAUACAGCUCAGCUCAUCCUGAAGAAUAAGUGGGAGGUCAGCCUCACGGGAAAUUCGAUAUCUCCACAUGCAGCUGUCAUGCCACAUGGAAACAGUCAUGCAUAGGGUCCUGUCACCUGGUAGACUGACCCCAGGUCCACUGACCCCUGACAAUCAUCAACCGCUUCUGAGGGCUCCAUGAUUGAGAUUUGUCCCCAGGAACUCAGGGGAAACUAUAUAUUGAUUAAAAUGAACUAUCAAAAUCA